AACUCUCCGCAUGCGCCAAUCCCGCUGUCUCAAACCAAACCCUAGAGUUUUUUUCUGAAAAAUCCACAAUCCUUCCCCUCCGUGGCUGGAAUUCACUCGUCUCUCUCUGAGGGGAAAGAAGUAACAAACAAUAUUUCUUACAAUUAUGAAUAAAGUCCAGUCAAAAUUCACCCGUCCAAAGGGAAUGGAUCAUGAGUCAAGUUCUAACUUAUAUGUUGCCAAUUGUGGUCCAGCUGUGGGCAUAUCUUUUGAUAAUAUUGAAUCAGUUUUUAGCACCUUUGGGAAGGUUAUAGGUGUCCAUGCUGCUGAUGAAACUGGUACUCGUGUGAUUGUUUGCUUUCAUGAAGUAAGUGCUGCUCAAGCUGCCUUUAAAGCUUUAAAUGGCUAUUCUUGCCCCGACCUCGGUGGGCGAACCUUGUGUAUACGUUAUUCAGUACCGCAGCCACCUCCGAAGAUUCUGGGUGGUGAUUCACUUCCCGUAUGUUUAUCGGCAUCAGAGCUGGCAAUUCCAGGAAUUUAUCUGGUGCAUGAAUUCAUCACUCUGAAGGAGGAGAAGGAACUUCUUGCAGAAGUGGAUGCUAGGCCAUGGAAAAGACUGUCAAAACGCAAAGUUCAGCAUUAUGGUUAUGAGUUUUUAUAUGAAACGAGAAAUGUUGAUUCGAAGCAGUUUCUAGGUGAACUUCCAUCCUUUGUUUCUCACAUACUCAAGAAGAUCAUGUCAUUUCCUGGCCUUGAUGAUGAUAGAAGCAAACAAGUGGAUCAACUGACGGUUAAUGAAUAUCCUUCUGGUGUGGGCUUAUCUCCACAUAUAGACACUCAUUCAGCAUUUGAUGAAUUGAUUUUCAGUCUUUCAUUAGCGGGUCCAUGCAUUAUGGAAUUCAGGAGAUAUCCUCAAGGCACGUUUACCGCUAUUGGGAAUAACCCUCAACAAUUAUCAAAUUUUACAAGGAAAGCUAUUUUCCUUCCUCCUAGAUCCAUGCUUUUGAUUUCUGGAGAAGGGCGAUAUGCUUGGCAUCAUUAUAUUCCCCAUCAUAAGGUUGAUACGGUUGGGGGACAUGUUGUCAGAAGAAGCUCAAGGAGGGUUUCUUUUACUUUUCGCAAGAGCUCAUGAAGAGGCAGUCUCAACCUGUUCUGCAGUAAAUCAUUGGAACGGCCUAAUCUACAAGUAGGCUAUAACAGCCUAAUCUUAGUAGGCUGCGACUUUUGUGCAUCUCUUUCAGGCUGGUGAGGAAAGGACCUUGCUGCUGUGAAUAUAAGCAAUAUUGUGAUUCUCAAAAGAAUGCUAUUAGAGCAAUGUUCGCUACCGAAAACACCAAGCAACGCCGAGCUGGUCAUAUCAUCACGUGUAACACGUGACAAGCGUUUAGGCUGACAGAUACUCAUGUUUAGCAUGGAUAAAGUCAGUUGAUGUUCCUUCUAAAAUGUGAUAGAAACUGAUGAGUAGCAGUUGAUCGAAACUCAUGUUGUCGCUUCUAGCAGGUGACAAGCAUUUAGGCUAACUCUCACCAAGAGUUGAGAGUAAUAGAAUAGAAGUCAAUUUUGUGGAGGCAUGUGGCGGCUAAUUUGACAAUAUUGCUUUUGUUUGCAUGAGGCAAGAUUUGUCAACUUGUGGUUUUAGUUAGUCUUUAUCUUGGUGAGAGAUGCAACAUCAGAACAGCCAAUGUGCUGGAUUACUGCAGCAUUCUGAUAGACAGCUUAGUUUGCUGCAUUAUUGAUUCUAAUCAUUGGAUACAUGCCCCUAUAAAGCCUGCAUCAUCAUAUCUUAGUUUAUGGUGCUGUGAAGAACAAUUUUGUAGCUGCAAUCACUUAUAUUUCUGGUAGUCCUGUAAUACUUCUACAGAACAUUGUUUUAGAUCCACUUGGUUUCUUUA